UGCUAAAAUAUCAUAAUAUUAACUAAUUUGAAUAUUAUUUAAAUACAUACUUGUUACUUUAUAAUCUCAUGUCUAAAACAAACAUUUUAUUCUUCAAAAGUAUUUUUUGACAGUAAUAUCAAACACUCAAAUUUCUCAAAAGCACUUCUCAAAAGCAAUAAAGAACUAGCCUAUCGUAUGAAACAAGGUUUAGAUGGACUUAGACCCAGGAAGUUCCAAGUUACCGUGAGACUUACUAAGCAAUUUUUGGGUUUCUAUUAUAAGUUCUAUAUUAUUAGAUUCUUCAUUUCAGCAUCGUCCUAUAAAUAGUAUUGGUGAAAACAAUGAAUUCCGUAGACAUUGUCGUUAUUGAGGAAUGGUUUUGGAGAAUGGGCAGUUUGGUAGACAGCCAAAUGCUUCAUAAUCGAAAUGCGGAAAUUUUAUUCCAUCUGAACUAGGCAGAGACUAGAAAUCUUAAACCAGUUGGGAUUUAUUAGCAAUUAAACAGAUUAAUGAUCCUCAUCAAAAGGCUCGAUGAGAUUAUAUUAUUAAGGAGUCAGCAUCUGAAAAUCAACUAACAGCCGCCUCAAGCAAACCACGCCUUCAUUGCUAGAAUUAACAAUAAAAUUAAAUUAAACAUCGAGGAUGAACCCAUUUAUUAUAUAGAUUUUGCCAAACAAAACUUAAAAGGAAAACAGCUUAAAAGUUCUCCGUAACAAAUUAAAACCAUAUUUGGGUUAUAAACAUUGAAAAGGGAGACAUUGAAGAAAUAGGGUAUUCAUGUAAUGGCUUUUGGAGGCGGGAAUGUGGUGAAAAGCAUCUCUGAUGGGGAACUCGAAAGGUGGGAACUGGUAAAAGAAGACCAAAGAUCCCAUCCCAACGACUAAAACCCACCAAAGAAAAAAGAACACAAAACCCGUACUAUGAUGCCAUAUAUAAAGGGUUUGAUGUGGAGGGCUGAUUAAAAGGCAGGGCAGCCUGCAGAGAACCCACAGGUAUUUUAAGAGCCACGAAAAUACUGCUCUCCCCUAUUUGCCUCGGCCCUUUCUCCCUUCGCAACCAUAAAGUUUUCUACACAAAAAGAACAGAAGAAAAAAAAAUGUUUGUUCACCUUGCCUGAGUGCUUAGGGUUGCCUAUACGGC
rnacentral:lncRNA from 1 species